UUUUGUUUAGACAUAAAAAUGUAAACAUAAGGACAUUUUAAAAUACUUUUGUUGAUUUCAUAUUGAAACAAUUGAACUUGUUUGUGUUGAUUUUCUUGAGUUGAUGAUAACAAGCAUUUUUCCCUUUUUUUCCUCUUUCAUUUCCCUUUCUCCUCUUCUCCCUGGAAUGUUGUCCUGCUUUGCACUGUGAUUGCAUGUCACUCGCUGGCAAUGAUGUCUCGUCACAUGGCUUAUUGCUAUGAUAAAUACCAUGCUCAAUUAUUCUGUCACAUGUUGCCAUGGUUCCCAUACUGCUACACUCUUCUGUAUGUUGGCUUAUAUGAUUUUCCUUCUGAAAGUUCCCAUGGUGCACGGUGCUACGCCAGCCACUGUGUCUGCAGCAACAACAUCUGCCACAAGUGUCCCCUUCGCUGCAACAGCCACAGCCAACCAGAUACCCAUAAUAUCUGCCGAACAUCUGACUAGCCACAAGUAUGUUACACAGAUGUAGACAUUUUGUCAUCAUACAAUCAUACUAAAGAGAAAAGGACAGUGUGCUUGGAUAGAGAAAAGGACACGAGCAUUAGCCAUAAUGUAUAUACCGUCAAGCCACACACAAAAAUUCCCUCAGCAGUAAGACAUCCACAUACUGCAUGUUAACAAGAUGAAACGACGACUUGGAAAUCCACUGCACACUGUUGCCUAUAUACUUUGUACAUUUAAUUGAUAUUUGUGCUGAGGUGAUCUUAUUGUCUAAAUCUACAACAUUGUCUAUCUUUUCUAGCACAGAGGUAUGCCUAUAUAUUUAAAUAUGCAUACAUAGUCUAUUUCCUACAUAAUCAUAUUUGUCAUCUUGAAAAGACAGACUAUGAUGUAAUCAUAAAUCUAUUAUGUAUUGGUACGUCUGUAGACCAAGAUAUAAUUUUUUAAAGUAAGUUUAUUUCUUUCAAGGUUUACAAAUAACAAAGGUGCACCUUGUAUUUAAAAUUGCCAUUAUAGAUGAGAGCGUGCAUGCACAGUAAUUUUUGUUUAAGAGUAAUAUUUUUAAUGUAAUAGAUUGUAAGAAGUGGUAAGAGAGGUAUCUGACAGAGAUGAAUGUGCCAAGCAAAACCACAACUGUGUAUAUUUUAAAGCACAUCAAUGGCUUUAAGUACCAUGUUGUUAAGGAUUCUCAUGAAGUGCCAUAGACUGUACAUCAAAUUAGAGUAUUAUUUCUGCAGUGUUAUUUUCAGAGCCACAUUUUUGCUUAUUUUGUUAGUACUAUUCAGUCAACGGCACCAUUCUGUUUCAAAACCAAAGCUGUCUCAGAAAUGGCUGAUUCAACCUAUAAUAAAAGUAGACAACAGAAAACCA
rnacentral:lncRNA from 1 species